UAGGGAAUCUUCGGCAAUGGACGAAAGUCUGACCGAGCAACGCCGCGUGAGUGAAGAAGGUUUUCGGAUCGUAAAACUCUGUUGUUAGAGAAGAACAAGGACGUUAGUAACUGAACGUCCCCUGACGGUAUCUAACCAGAAAGCCACGGCUAACUACGUGCCAGCAGCCGCGGUAAUACGUAGGUGGCAAGCGUUGUCCGGUUUUAUUGGGCGUAAAGCGAGCGCAGGCGGUUUCUUAAGUCUGAUGUGAAAGCCCCCGGCUCAACCGGGGAGGGUCAUUGGAAACUGGGAGACUUGAGUGCAGAAGAGGAGAGUGGAAUUCCAUGUGUAGCGGUGAAAUGCAUAAAUAUAUGGAGGAACACCAGUGGCGAAGGCGGCUCUCUGGUCUGUAACUAACGCUGUGGCUCGAAAGCGUGGGGAGCAAACAGG
rnacentral:rRNA from 1 species